GACGAACGCUGGCGGCGUGCUUAACACAUGCAAGUCGAACGGAAAGGCCCUGCUUUUGUGGGGUGCUCGAGUGGCGAACGGGUGAGUAACACGUGAGUAACCUGCCCUUGACUUUGGGAUAACUUCAGGAAACUGGGGCUAAUACCGGAUAGGAGCUCCUGCUGCAUGGUGGGGGUUGGAAAGUUUCGGCGGUUGGGGAUGGACUCGCGGCUUAUCAGCUUGUUGGUGGGGUAGUGGCUUACCAAGGCUUUGACGGGUAGCCGGCCUGAGAGGGUGACCGGCCACAUUGGGACUGAGAUACGGCCCAGACGGCUACGGGAGGCAGCAGUGGGGAAUAUUGCACAGUGGGCGGGAGCCUGAGGCAGCGGCGCCGCGUGCGGGAUGACGGCCUUCGGGUUGUAAACCGCUUUCGCCUGUGACGAAGCGUGAGUGACGGUAAUGGGUAAAGAAGCACCGGCUAACUACGUG
rnacentral:rRNA from 1 species